rnacentral:rRNA from 1 species
ACGCACGCUGGCGGCGUGCUUCACACCUGCAAGUCGAACGGAAAGGCCCUGCUUUUGUGGGGUGCUCGAGUGGCGAACGGGUGAGUAACACGUGGGUAACCUGCCCUUGACUUUGGGAUAACUUCAGGAAACUGGGGCUAAUACCGGAUAGGAGCUCCUGCUGCAUGGUGGGGGUUGGAAAGUUUCGGCGGUUGGGGAUGGACUCGCGGCUUAUCAGCUUGUUGGUGGGGUAGUGGCUUACCAAGGCUUUGACGGGUAGCCGGCCUGAGAGGGUGACCGGCCACAUUGGGACUGAGAUACGGCCCAGACUCCUACGGGAGGCAGCAGUGGGGAAUAUUGCACAAUGGGCGGAAGCCUGAUGCAGCAACGCCGCGUGCGGGAUGACGGCCUUCGGGUUGUAAACCGCUUUCGCCUGUGACGAAGCGUGAGUGACGGUAAUGGGUAAAGAAGCACCGGCUAACUACGUG